UCCAUUUUCGAAAUUUAAUUUUUGAAAUAUUCUCUUCUUCUCUCUGAGAUUACUGCGACUACGAACAACGUUCUUCGUUUCCAGACCUCUGCGAAAAUGGUUGUGAUUCAGAAGCUGAAGGAAGCAGAGAUUACUGAGCAGGACUCGCUUCUUCUGACUCGGAAUCUGCUUCGUAUUGCUAUCUUCAACAUCAGUUACAUCAGAGGACUCUUUCCUGAGAAGUAUUUCAACGAUAAAUCGGUUCCUG